rnacentral:tRNA from 1 species
CGCCGGUGGGCGGCGCCGGCCCGGGAGCUGACGGUUCCCGUGAAGGGGUGCGGCUUGUACAGCACGCGCACCGGCGG